CUUCUGUCAGUCCAUACAUUGGCUUCCUAUAAAAUAUAGAGCUCAAUUUAAAAUUCUGGUUCUUGCUUUCAAAUCUCUACAUAAUGCUGCUCCCACCUAUCUAUCCUCCCUUAUACACAAGUACAUCCCAUCUAGGCCCUUACGAUCUGCUGAAGACUUACGUCUAUCUUCUGUCAUACUCCCACCUCUGAUGCUCGCCUUCACAAUUUCUCGAAGGCUGCACCGUUCCUGUGGAACUCGCUUCCCUCCACCGUUAGAUGCUCACCCAGUCUCCACUCCUUAAAAAAAUCAUCAAAAAUCCACUUCUUCAUAAAAGCGUAUCAAUUAAACUGUUAAUAGUUCCUGACUGAUUCCUCUUCUGCAACUGUCACUAGUCUAACACUAUCCUUACCUUUUUGUGUCAUUUUACCCCACUCCCUCCAGCGUGUAAGCUCAUUGAGCAUGGCCCUCAACCCCUCUGAUCCUGUGUGUCCAACUUGUCUGGUUACAACUACAUGUCUGUUCGUCC